rnacentral:rRNA from 1 species
GACUCAACACGGGGAAACUCACCAGGUCCAGACAUAACUAGGAUUGACAGAUUGAUAGCUCUUUCUUGAUUUUAUGGGUGGUGGUGCAUGGCCGUUCUUAGUUGGUGGAGUGAUUUGUCUGGUUAAUUCCGAUAACGAACGAGACCUUAACCUGCUAAAUAGCCAGACCGUCUUUUGAUGGUUGCAGGCUUCUUAGAGGGACUGUCAGGAUCUACCUGACGGAAGUUUGAGGCAAUAACAGGUCUGUGAUGCCCUUAGAUGUUCUGGGCCGCACGCGCGCUACACUGACAAAGCCAGCGAGUUUAUCACCUUGGCCGGAAGGUCCGGGUAAUCUUGUGAAACUUUGUCGUGCUGGGGAUAGAGCAUUGCAAUUAUUGCUCUUCAACGAGGAAUGCCUAGUAAGCGCAAGUCAUCAGCUUGCGUUGAUUACGUCCCUGCCCUUUGUACACACCGCCCGUCGCUACUACCGAUUGAAUGGCUUAGUGAGGUCUUCGGAUUGGCGUUAGGGACCCGGCAACGGGACUCUUUUGCUGAGAAGUUGAUCAAACUUGGUCAUUUAGAGGAAGUAAAAGUCGUAACAAGGUUUCCGUAGCACAAGUCUACGAAGAACAGUAAUGUUCCUUCCGCAGAGUACACUUGCAGAAGCCUUAGUGGCCCGAAAGGGUGUCAUCAACGACUAUAAACAAGUAGAUGGAUUAAACGCUAGUCUCUUCUAGAGGCAACACUAUCAAAUUGCGGGAAGAUCCUGUCAUGUCCACAUCACCGCGGCUCACCGAAAGGUGCAGUGCAGCACCAGGUUAACUACCUUGGGAAUGGUAAUAGCAUGUUGGAAUAGGGAGAAUCCGCAGCCAAGCCCCUUUGUGGGGUGCAGUUCACAGGCCAAAUGGUAGUGGGCACUUCAAGUGCUUAAGAUAUGGUCGAGUCCCAGUUGUAAAGCUGGGUACAAGUACUCUUGCUUGGAUAUAAAAUGCAAAUGUUCCGUAGGUGAACCUGCGGAAGGAUCAUUAAUGAAUUAUAAGCCGGUCGUCUGUGCUGGUGGGGCAACUCACAUGUGCACGUCGAUCGCAAAUCCACACACCUGUGCACUUUUGACUUUGGGAUCCACUGGUUGGCUUGUCCGACUUGUAGCUGGUUUUGGUCUUGUACCUUGGCCUGGGUCUCAGAGUAAUUUUUACACACUCUGAAUGUAAUGGAAUGUCUUGUGCAUAAUGCAUAUAAAAACAACUUUCAACAACGGAUCUCUUGGCUCUCGCACCGAUGAAGAACGCAGCGAAAUGCGAUAAGUAAUGUGAAUUGCAGAAUUCAGUGAAUCAUCGAAUCUUUGAACGCACCUUGCACCUUUUGGUAUUCCGAAAGGUACACCCGUUUGAGUGUCAUUGUAAUCUCACUCCUUCAACUUUGUUGUUGCUGGAUGUGGACUUGGACUCUGUCGUGUUACAGCGACUGGUCUGAAAUGCCUGAGUACACCCUGCUGUUGCAGCGUCUUCAGUGUGAUAAGCAUCUUCACUGAUUCAAGUUCCUUCGGGACACGUAGCAUUGUGGGCUCUGUGCUGACAAACCGUCUUCGGACAAACUUUGACAAUUUGACCUCAAAUCGGGUGGGACUACCCGCUGAACUUAAGCAUAUCAAUAAGCGGAGGAAAAGAAACUAACAAGGAUUCCCCUAGUAACGGCGAGUGAAGAGGGAAAAGCUCAAAUUUUGAAUCUGGUGUCUUUGGCGCCCGAGUUGUAAUCUAGAGAAGUGUUUUCUGCCUCGGACCACACAUAAAUUCCCUGGAAUGGGGUGUCAUAGAGGGUGAGAAUCCCGUUUGUGGUGUGGACUACCUUGGCUCUGUGAUACACUCUCAACGAGUCGAGUUGUUUGGGAAUGCAGCUCAAAAUGGGUGGUAAAUUCCAUCUAAAGCUAAAUAUUGGCGAGAGACCGAUAGCGAACAAGUACCGUGAGGGAAAGAUGAAAAGCACUUUGGAAAGAGAGUGAAACAGUACGUGAAAUUGUUGAAAGGGAAGCGUUUGAAGUCAGUCACAUCGAUCGGAAUUCAGCCUGGCUUUGCCUGGUGUACUUUCUGGUAGAUGGGUCAGCGUCAAUUUCGACUGAGGGAAAAAGACUUGAGGAAUGUGGCUGUCUUCGGGCAGUGUUAUAGCCUCUUGUUGUAUGUCUCAGUUGGGAUUGAGGACCGCAGCACGCCAUUUGGCCGGGGUUCGCGCCCUCGGAACGUGCUUAGGACGCUGGCAUAAUGGCUUUAAGCGACCCGUCUUGAAACACGGACCAAGGAGUCUAACAUGUGCGCGAGUGUUUAGGUGUUAAACCUGGGCGCGUAAUGAAAGUGAAAGGUCGGGAUCAUGUACUUGUGCACCGACGCCCGGAGCAGACCUUCUGUGACGCAUCCGCGGUAGAGCGUAUAUGUUGGGACCCGAAAGAUGGUGAACUAUGCCUGAAUAGGGUGAAGCCAGAGGAAACUCUGGUGGAGGCUCGUAGCGAUUCUGACGUGCAAAUCGAUCGUCAAAUUUGGGUAUAGGGGCGAAAGACUAAUCGAACCAUCUAGUAGCUGGUUCCUGCCGAAGUUUCCCUCAGGAUAGCAGAAACUCAUUAUCAGCCUUGUGCGGUAAAGCGAAUGAUUAGAGGCCUUGGGGUUGAAACAACCUUAACCUAUUCUCAAACUCUAAAUGUGCAAGAUAGAGUUGUCACUUGAUUGGACUUCUCUGUGGGUGAGAGUUUCUAGUGGG